rfam:Candidatus Burkholderia kirkii TZHbot1 genomic scaffold, BKIR_scaffold8
GCUGGGUGAGCUCAGCCGGGAGAGCGUCGCGUUCGCGAUGCGAAGGUCGGGAGUUCGCUCCUCCUCUCCACCA